UAUGCCUGCACUCCGCGUAUAGGCGCAUCAACGCGUAUAGGCGCGCAACCUUAACAUAAUUCAUACAAAAUAGGGUCAUCCAGUAUUUUUCGAAACAAAUGAGCGAUGCAACCGGCAGAAAUGCUUCGUCUGCCGCAGCCGUUAAACGAGCUGCCCGAGCAGAGGCUCAGCGCCGCCGCCGUCAGAAUCCUGAGGUGCGCGCCGCCGAAGCACAAGCUAAGCGCCGUCGCCGAGAUGCUAUGCGAGCCGCCGAAGCAGAAGCUUAUCGCCGCCGCAGUCAAGAGCACCCUGCAUUCCGAGCCGCCAGAGCAGAAGCUGAACGCCGCCGACGUCAGAAUCCAGAGGUGCGCGCCGCCGAAGCAGAAGCUAAGCGCCGUCGCCGAGAUGACCUGAAAAUGACACUGUGGAAGUUCAGUGUUGAUCAAGUGCAUACAUUGGGCCAUCAGAAAGAGACUGGACAUGUGAUGGUGGAAACGAGCACCCAAACUGCCAUGGCCUUCCAACGGACUAUCCCUGUGCAGACUAGACCAACGAAAUUAAGGAGCCAAGGUACAUGCACGGGCCCUGAAUGAUGAGCUGAAGGAGAAAUAAUCAUCCAUUUGAUGCUGAAGAGAAUACAUUGAAGAGGCUCAACUGGAGGGAAGCAAGCCACCAUCAAGCUAGCACCUGUUGUGGUACACGAAGGAACACCUUGCCUAGAGUUGACCACGUGGAACCAGCUGUAUGCUGGCAAUGCCGAACGCUGCCAUCAUGAAGAUAGCGCUUGAAGAGUGCAUGCGAGAAACCUUAAGCAGUACAUUAUUGCCAAAAGUGUUCAAGGAGUAUUGUAAUGAUAUUUGCGACUUGUCACUUUCUUGUUUGUUGAUGUUGAAUGGAAGUGCAAACCCUCUGAAUCCUAGAAAAAUAGCCUCGAGUAUCAUAGCACCGUAAAUAAUUUAUACUACAACGCUUUUUUUGUAGUACCAGGGGGUCCACCCUCCACGACAUCACGACGCACUAGGUUGCUCCAUUCCCGUGUCCACUGCAGCUACAGCCAAACGUGUGCAGCAUUCUGAACCCUGUAUAAUGCCCAUUGUAUGAUGUAUGGUAUGCCGUUCCAAUACCUUUAAAUUCUGAUUUUAGCAUGAAAACUACACACAUAGCCUGCUGCAGAGCUCUUUAUAAACCAUAGUGUGUUUAGUUGUGGAUACUUCAGGAAACCAAGCAUACUAAUUAAUCACUGUAAUAAUUAAGUUUUACCUAAAAAAAAAAACAAAUUUGUUCCUUUUUUUUUUACAAAUUUGCUCUCCCUGGUCCGAAAUAAAGGUUAUCAAGUUGGUCUAAUUUUCUUUGAUGUAGAACUGUGUUUGGGCAAUACAGGGUUAAUUUUUUAUAAGCAAACUACACAAACAGCAAAUUUUGCUUCGUGUCAUGACUAGGUCUGGGCAUCAACCAAAAAAAUUUUUGUAAAAUAAUCGGAACGCAUUAAUAAAAUUUUCAGAUUCACA